rnacentral:rRNA from 1 species
CCUACGGGAGGCAGCAGUGGGGAAUAUUGGACAAUGGGCGCAAGCCUGAUCCAGCCAUGCCGCGUGAGUGAUGAAGGCCUUAGGGUUGUAAAGCUCUUUCAACGGUGAAGAUAAUGACGGUAACCGUAGAAGAAGCCCCGGCUAACUUCGUGCCAGCAGCCGCGGUAAUACGAAGGGGGCUAGCGUUGUUCGGAAUUACUGGGCGUAAAGCGUACGUAGGCGGAUUAGAAAGUUAGGGGUGAAAUCCCAGGGCUCAACCCUGGAACUGCCUCUAAAACUCCUAAUCUUGAGUUCGAGAGAGGUGAGUGGAAUUCCGAGUGUAGAGGUGAAAUUCGUAGAUAUUCGGAGGAACACCAGUGGCGAAGGCGGCUCACUGGCUCGAUACUGACGCUGAGGUACGAAAGCGUGGGGAGCAAACAGGAUUAGAUACCCUUGUAGUC